ACACUCUUCCACUACAGCUAAGUAGGCACUACAAGACUUCCACGCAGAAGACCAAGAUGAAGUCCGCUGUUAUCGCAUACAUCUGCCUCCUGGUCGCCAUGAUAGCAUACAGCCAAGCUCUCCAAGUAUGCAAUAAAGUAGCCGCUACUGUUUCAACUUCUGCCACCAACCAGACUGUGUUAUUUUUAGACGAGACCAUCAAGCAAGUGCUAGGGUCGGUUUUAAAAUUAGUGCCCGCAAUAAUGGCUGACGUCACGCUAUGUGUUGCAUAGUUUGUCGGCCACACAUUGUGUUUGCGACUGAGCCAGCCACGCUUCAAGUGUAGUUCUGUAUGUUGUAUGUGGCUACCGCUCGUGAAUAAAGACCAAAAUGUGUAUUA